rnacentral:lncRNA from 1 species
GGCCUUGCUCUUAUGUCAUUUGACUAAAGGUUUCAUAGACCAAAGAUAACCAUCCAACUUGUUGGAAUACUGAAACAAUUGCUGCCUGCUGUCCACACACCACAUAAAAUAUGUGGAUUUUGUAAAUUCUGCAAAAAAGGUUUGGAAGCUGAUCAAUCAAUACUGGAACUCCCUCUUCUCCAGAAGAGACAUCCUGGCCUCCAUGCAGAGGAAUGUGUGGAUGGACAUAUAUUUAAGGAAGACACUAAACCAGAAACUACUACAUUACACCCUCUUAGAAGACUUCUAAGAUUGUUGUCAUGCCUACCACAGACAUUCAGAUGAUGUGUAUUGUUGAUUGUGAUUUCAUGUUUGGACCUGAUGAAGGAACCCAGGAGAUGAACAUAUGCCUGAGAAGACGAACUAGUGUGGAACUGUCAGCCAGGUUUUUGAUGAGUGCUCAGACGGAUUCCUGAUCCAGCAUCCACAUUUACUAUAGUGGACAGAUGCUCUAGUCUCUAAUGAGGAGUUGCUAGCUGUUAGGAAGAACCUGAAAUGGGCUCCACUGCAUGAGGUUUGAAGUCUCCAGAGCAGCAAAGAGAGUGGGGAGUAGAACUAUUCAUCUUUAGGUCACUCAUCAUCG